rnacentral:tRNA from 1 species
GCCAGCAUGGCAUAGUGGUUUAAGUGUUGGACUAUGACUCUGGAGACCAGGGUUCGAUUUCCAGCUCCGCCA